GCUGAGAAGCCACCAUUUGAGCCAAGACUGGAGGAGCUGAGGCUGCGGGCCAGGAUGACAUCGAGGGUGGAGCCUUCCAGGCAAAAAAACAAUCGUGUGAAAGUUUUUCGUCAUGUCCAGGCACCACCUCUUCCCGGUCAGGCCCACGUUACAUACGAGGACAAUGGAACAAGUCAAAGGCAAAGCAACACGUCCCCCUGUAAAAACUGUCAGUGUAACCGUCCACUUCCGUAUCUGUCCAGUCACUUAACAAACAUUGACGGACCACCUUUAAACACAGGCUGCUGUGCUGGUGUCUGGGACACAGCGCCUGACACUCAGGAGAUGGGGAGAGCCUUCCUCUCACUCCGCCUCAGGAGGAGCUCGAACCUGCUCCCUUAAAUCUCCAUCAGCUCCGCAAGCACUUGGGCUCUGCUGGCUGUAACGCUGCUCCCUGUUUACCAGAGGCUUUUGCUGGCACAUGUAUCACUCAGACUCUGAACUAGAUCAAGCCACAGAAAACUUCGAUUCAUGGAGCUGCUGGUCCCCAUUACCACAAGAUAUGCAUUCUUUCUCUUUGAUAAGGAAUUAAGGUGCCAUAUUCAAACUUUAAUCUGUAAAUACAGGUAAAUAAAACAUGAUUACAGAAAUCAUUUUCAAUAAAAAUCCAU
rnacentral:lncRNA from 1 species